ACCAGUCACAGUGGUGCACAUCUGUAGUCCCAGCUACUCAGGAGGCGGAGGCAGGAAGAAGGUUUGAGCCCAGGUGUUCUGAGCUAUAAUGCGCUAUGCCAAUUGGGUGUCUGCAUUAAGUUUGACAUCAAUAUGGUGACCUCCCAGGAGCAGGGGACCAUCAGGUUGCUUAAGGUAGGAUAAAUUAGCCCUGGGUCAGAAACGAGCAGGUCAAAACUGCUGUGCUGAUCAGUAGUGGGAUAGUGCCUGCAAAUAGCCACUGUACUCCAAGCUGGGCAACAUAGCAAGACCCUGUCUCUU
rfam:Otolemur garnettii contig134866, whole genome shotgun sequence.